rnacentral:rRNA from 1 species
UUAUCGGAGAGUUUGAUCCUGGCUCAGGACGAACGCUGGCGGCGUGCCUAAUACAUGCAAGUCGAGCGGACAGAUGGGAGCUUGCUCCCUGAUGUUAGCGGCGGACGGGUGAGUAACACGUGGGUAACCUGCCUGUAAGACUGGGAUAACUCCGGGAAACCGGGGCUAAUACCGGAUGCUUAUUUGAACCGCAUGGUUCAAAUAUAAAAGGUGGCUUCGGCUACCACUUACAGAUGGACCCGCGGCGCAUUAGCUAGUUGGUGAGGUAACGGCUCACCAAGGCAACGAUGCGUAGCCGACCUGAGAGGGUGAUCGGCCACACUGGGACUGAGACACGGCCCAGACUCCUACGGGAGGCAGCAGUAGGGAAUCUUCCGCAAUGGACGAAAGUCUGACGGAGCAACGCCGCGUGAGUGAUGAAGGUUUUCGGAUCGUAAAGCUCUGUUGUUAGGGAAGAACAAGUACCGUUCGAAUAGGGCGGUACCUUGACGGUACCUAACCAGAAAGCCACGGCUAACUACGUGCCAGCAGCCGCGGUAAUACGUAGGUGGCAAGCGUUGUCCGGAAUUAUUGGGCGUAAAGGGCUCGCAGGCGGUUUCUUAAGUCUGAUGUGAAAGCCCCCGGCUCAACCGGGGAGGGUCAUUGGAAACUGGG